ACCAAACUUGUAAGAUGUGCAAUUUGCUUCUGUUCUUCCUCUCGCUCUUUUUUCCUCCUCACGCUCUCUCCUCUCCUGCUCCAAUUGCCUCUGCAGCUCCUCACUCUCUAUCUCACGCUCCAUCUUCAUCUCCUCCAUCUCAGCUUUAAGUUUCUGCAACUCCCCAACAUGGUCUUGUGACACACGACUAGGUGUGGAAGAAGAUGAAGAGGGCUUCGGCCCAACCCCAUAUCUAAGAAUGUAUCUCUUCCUUUUUC
rnacentral:lncRNA from 1 species